GACAGUGGAUAGCCGCGGCCGCGGUCCGGCAUGGCCCGGAUCGAGGAAAGUCCGGACUCCACAGGGCAAGGUGCUGGAUAACGUCCAGGCAGGGUGACCUGACGGAAAGUGCCACAGAAAACAUACCGCCAUCCCACGGGGGAUGGUAAGGGUGAAAUGGUGCGGUAAGAGCGCACCGCUCGUCCGGUGACGGACGGGGCACGGUAAACCCCACCCGGAGCAAAACCAAAUAGGGGAGGAGAGACGGCCCGUCUCGCUUGACUCCCGGGUAGGUUGCGCAUUCAGCCGCCGGAGUGAUCCGGGGCGCAGAUGAAUGGCCGCUAGACCGCGCGUUUGCGCGGCGAAACAGAAUCCGGCUUAUGCUCCGCUGUCCUGU
rnacentral:RNase_P_RNA from 1 species